CCAGAUUCAAUUGGGUUUUUUUUUCUUCUGCUACCUCAGGCACUCCGGAUUUAUUUGGAUUUCGGAUUCUCAGUUUGGUCUCUGUAUGUUUCUUUCGGUUCAUUGACUUCUCGGUCUGCUGGUCAUCGUCGCAUGAACUACCUGCUGACACUACACAACACCUUCUUUCAUUGGUAUGCACACUGUAAUCUUCUCCUCUUAAAUUUUAAUUUACAUUGGCUGAGCACAUGCACCUUCUAUUUCCCAAUCUUAUUGUACUAACCAGACACACCUAUCACUUUGUCGUCGAUGCCGUUAUCUCAGUGUUCUUCCCACGGCCGCUUCAACCUUGCUGCCUCCCUGUCCGGCACCUCUUUUCUUGCAGUGGUGUUAUAUAGAGUAUAGACUAUUUCAUUUUUCUGAUAUCGUACUUGGAUCAGGGGUACACAGAUAUGUACUUUCGAUUACAGUGUAAUUUCGAUCUGUUGUCCAACAUAAUGGUUUGGUUGAUUGUUAAUAGAUAUGUGUGUUUUUCUCUUGCUUUUUCAGCAAAACUACUGAUUUAUAAUGGCAUGAUGAUAAUCAAUUGUCAAUCACAAUGACAAUCGGGAUGUUUUAUAUUCAACAGUAAUGGCUCUUUCCCUGAACCUGGAUUUAUGUUGGUGGUGACAAUCCAGAUGUUGUUAUUAUUCAAAUUUGAUUCUACGCUGGUUUCCUCUUGAUACAUAUGCUACUAACCAGCGGAUCUUGGGCUUGGUAUCACUCUGACACAUGUUUCAUCAAAUUGGUGAAGAAUAUUUACUCUCUUUUGCUAUCUAGCAUGUGGGUAUAGCAUUGAGCAAUAUACGACAAAUUAAGGAUGAGUGUGGGUAUAUCAGGUAAAACAAUCUCAGUUUGUUGAUAACUAAUUCAGUCACUUGGGGUCUUCAUGUAAUGUGUGUCACUCAAAAAUGCCUGCUGCAGAUUGUAUUUAAAUAUUUCAGGCCCUUCUGGUUGAUAUUAGAAUGACCAGGUAUAAUUAUUUUCUCCUCUGUAGUAUUCUAUUGGUAUUUAAAUAUUUUAGGCCCUUCUGGUUGAA